CCUACGGGUGGCAGCAGUGAGGAAUAUUGGUCAAUGGGCGGGAGCCUGAACCAGCCAAGUCGCGUGAGGGAAGACGGUCCUAUGGAUUGUAAACCUCUUUAGUCGGGGAGCAAUGCCGGGCACGCGUGCCCGGAGGGAGAGUACCCGCAGACUAAGCCUCGGCUACCUCCGUGCCAGCAGCCGCGGUAUACGGAGGAUGCGAGCGUUAUCCGGAAUUACUGGGUGUAAAGGGUGUGUAGGCGGCCUUGCAAGUCAGGGGUGAAAACCAUGGGCUCAAACCGUGGACGGCGUUUGAAACUGGGAGGCGUGAGUGAAGUAGAGGUAGGCGGAAGUCCCGGUGUAGCGGUGAAAGGCGUAGAGAUCGGGAGGAACACCAGUGGCGAAGGCGGCCUACUGGGCUUUAACUGACGCUGAGGCACGAAAGCAUGGGUAGCAAACAGGAUUAGAUACCCUUGUAGUC
rnacentral:rRNA from 1 species